rnacentral:rRNA from 1 species
UACGAAGGGGGCUAGCGUUGUUCGGAUUUACUGGGCGUAAAGCGCACGUAGGCGGAUUGGUCAGUUAGGGGUGAAAUCCUGGAGCUCAACUCCAGAACUGCCUUUAAUACUGCCAGUCUCGAGUCCGGAAGAGGUAAGUGGAACUCCUAGUGUAGAGGUGGAAUUCGUAGAUAUUCGCAAGAACACCAGUGGCGAAGGCGGCUUACUGGUCCGGUUCUGACGCUGAGGCGCGAAAGCGUGGGGAGCAAACAGG